GGGUGGCACAAGGCGUCAGUGCGCCUGGCUGUCAACCAGAAAGUCGCUGGUUCGAGCCCACCCAGGGACG